rnacentral:rRNA from 1 species
UACGAAGGGGGCUAGCGUUGCUCGGAAUCACUGGGCGUAAAGCGCACGUAGGCGGAUUGCUAAGUCAGGGGUGAAAUCCUGGAGCUCAACUCCAGAACUGCCUUUGAUACUGGCGACCUUGAGUCCGGGAGAGGUGAGUGGAAUUCCUAGUGUAGAGGUGAAAUUCGUAGAUAUUGGGAGGAACACCAGUGGCGAAGGCGGCUCACUGGACCGGAACUGACGCUGAGGCGCGAAAGCGUGGGGAGCAAACAGG